GGGGAGGGGAUGCUUGAUUUCGAAGGAGAGGGACAGCCUGCACAAAACAGCCUGUGGUCGGAGUCAGAGCAGCCUGCUCCAGAAUGCGCGCUCCCUCUCCCGCUCUCCUCCCAGCAAACGCAGAACGAGAAUGAUCAUCUUUUCUCCAGCACCGGGUUGUUUACCCUGCCUGCUCCCCACCCUCUGCAUAAAUGCCUCCAGUGACAUGGACCAGGAGGAACCACUUCAGAGACCCCGAGGAUAAAGAUACACACCCGACUUCCUUGACAGUUUCUCAUUCUUCAACCGAAAGGCAGCCGCACACUUAUGAAUAAAAUACGAAGCUAAUAAGUAAAUGUGUGUUACUCUGGGAAAUUAAAAGUGGGUUCCUCGGAGAGUUCAAAGUGUUCCAACAUGCACCUUGAGUUACAAAGUAGCCACAACCUGCUUCAUACUUUUGGAAAGAAUUGUUCUGCCCUAAGGACAACUGUAUGUGCUGUGUCUCCAGCCAUCUAUCCUCAACAAGCUGGCUUCUACAUACCAUCUGGGGCAUUACUAGCUAUAAUGUGGGAAUGAAGCAAACCAACGCAGAGGCAGAUGCAGAGACCCUGGACAACUGUUCUUGGAAGAAUAUGUCCUCUGAUUCCUGUCCACCCCAUGCUCCACGCACAUAUUCUUAACACUGUGAGAUGUACGGCCAUGCACAAGUUGCUCCUUCAAAGUUAG